AACUAGUUCGAUAUUUACUUAGUUUAGACAUAAUAGUAAUUUGCCUAAGUAUUAUAAUUUAGAACCUAGUAAUUCACCUGUGAUCUUGGUUCACUCUGUGAAAACGGUAUCGGUGGCUGCCGUGACCGUUUUCUAACGGCGAAAUCGCACUACAGGACCGUUUUUUAAAAUCUUUUUUGUUAAUAACUAUGUCUGCUAUAGGUUUAUUAUCUUUGAAUAAUUGAAAUCGCACACAGUUUUCUUUAAUAAUUGAAAUCUACGAAUUUACCAAGAGACUAAACCAAGCUUCAAAGACUGUCAACAAACUUUAUCACUCAAUAAAACAUUGAAAGAAAUGCUUAAAUUGUUUCAAAGAAAUGCUUACAUAAAUUAGAUCUUAGCCAGGACCAAAGAACAUUAGAUCACCCAAGAUCUCAGUCAAGACCUUACAUAAAUCACAAAAUCUAACAGCCAAGAGGAAGAGGAAUAUGAAAGAAAAUACCUUAGUUGAAAAAGGAACACUGUGAAACAGAUCGUCGGAGAUGGAGCAGGUGACGGCGGCGCGCGCUAGGGUUGAAUGGAAGAUGGAGCAGGAGACGGCGGCGCGGCUAGGGUGUAACGGAAGAUGGAGCAUAAGACGGCGGCGCGGCUAGGGUUGAAUGGAAGAUGGAUCAGGAGACGGCGGCUAGGGUUGAAGGAAUGAAUGGUGGUGGCUGAAUGAAUGGUGGCGGCGGAAUGAACCAGGUGAAGAAAGAGAAAUUUUCCAACAAAAUGAAUUGAAAUGAGAGAGGGUAGUAGGGUACGGCACAAAUUUUAAUUAGUUUUUUCAUCUUUGAUUUUUCUUUUUUGACAUGGAAUUGAUUUAAUUUUUUUAUUAUUAUUAUUUGUGGUGCCACAUAAGGGUGGUAUAAGGUGUAGUGCCACCUAUGGUGGUACACCUAUCACUGCUC
rnacentral:lncRNA from 1 species